rfam:Ixodes scapularis strain Wikel colony gcontig_1107729209096, whole genome shotgun sequence.
UCCUGGUUAGCUCAGUUGGUAGAGCGCUCCAUUGGAAAAUGAUAGGUCCCUGGUUCGAUACCAGGACCAGGCG